rnacentral:rRNA from 1 species
GACGAACGCUGGCGGCGUGCUUAACACAUGCAAGUCGAACGGAAAGGCCCUGCUUUUGCGGGGUGCUCGAGUGGCGAACGGGUGAGUAACACGUGAGUAACCUGCCCUUGACUUUGGGAUAACUUCAGGAAACUGGGGCUAAUACCGGAUAGGAGCUCCUGCUGCAUGGUGGGGGUUGGAAAGUUUCGGCGGUUGGGGAUGGACUCGCGGCUUAUCAGCUUGUUGGUGGGGUAGUGGCUUACCAAGGCUUUGACGGGUAGCCGGCCUGAGAGGGUGACCGGCCACAUUGGGACUGAGAUACGGCCCAGACUCCUACGGGAGGCAGCAGUGGGGAAUAUUGCACAAUGGGCGGAAGCCUGAUGCAGCAACGCCGCGUGCGGGAUGACGGCCUUCGGGUUGUAAACCGCUUUCGCCUGUGACGAAGCGUGAGUGACGGUAAUGGGUAAAGAAGCACCGGCUAACUACGUGCCAGCAGCCGCGGUGAUACGUAGGGUGCGAGCGUUGUCCGGAUUUAUUGGGCGUAAAGGGCUCAUAGGUGGUUGAUCGCGUCGGAAGUGUAAUCUUGGGGCUUAACCCUGAGCGUGCUUUCGAUACGGGUUGACUUGAGGAAGGUAGGGGAGAAUGGAAUUCCUGGUGGAGCGGUGGAAUGCGCAGAUAUCAGGAGGAACACCAGUGGCGAAGGCGGUUCUCUGGGCCUUUCCUGACGCUGAGGAGCGAAAGCGUGGGGAGCGAACAGGCUUAGAUACCCUGGUAGUCCACGCUGUAAACGGUGGGUACUAGGUGUGGGGUCCAUUCCACGGGUUCCGUGCCGUAGCUAACGCUUUAAGUACCCCGCCUGGGGAGUACGGCCGCAAGGCUAAAACUCAAAGGAAUUGACGGGGCCCCGCACAAGCGGCGGAGCAUGCGGAUUAAUUCGAUGCAACGCGUAGAACCUUACCUGGGUUUGACAUGGAUCGGGAGUGCUCAGAGAUGGGUGUGCCUCUUUUGGGGUCGGUUCACAGGUGGUGCAUGGCUGUCGUCAGCUCGUGUCGUGAGAUGUUGGGUUAAGUCCCGCAACGAGCGCAACCCUUGUUCACUGUUGCCAGCACGUUAUGGUGGGGACUCAGUGGAGACCGCCGGGGUCAACUCGGAGGAAGGUGGGGAUGACGUCAAGUCAUCAUGCCCCUUAUGUCCAGGGCUUCACGCAUGCUACAAUGGCUGGUACAGAGAGUGGCGAGCCUGUGAGGGUGAGCGAAUCUCGGAAAGCCGGUCCCAGUUCGGAUUGGGGUCUGCAACUCGACCUCAUGAAGUCGGAGUCGCUAGUAAUCGCAGAUCAGCAACGCUGCGGUGAAUACGUUCCCGGG